AAUACUGCUUGUGGAGUUUUUUUAAAUGUACAGAAGCUUACCAAAAAGCACAAGUUACUGUUUUUCCCUCAGACCCACUCCUCACAGUGUACAGUGGAGUUUUCCAGCGCCUGCAUGAUAUGUGACAUUGCAGCAGACUGAAUGCAGAAGGAGACAUGAGAAUCCAGAAGUGAAGAGGCUUGCAAAAAUGCAGAGCAAUGCCACUCUCCUCAUUAAAAUGGCUUUUGGGAGAUGCAAGAGGGAAGACAUAUGGGAACAUAUGUAUAUGUAUAACUGAUUCACUUUGUUAUAAAGCAGAAACUGACACACCAUUGUAAAGCAAUUAUACUCUAAUAAAGAUGUUAAAAAAAAAAGACCCAACACAGCCAAAAUAAAUUUUAAAAAUUUUAAAUAUAAAUAAAUAAAAUGGCUUGUUUUGGAAAAAAUAUCUGUUAUGGUUAUUUAUGCUAAUAUGUAAUGGAUUUAUUCUUUUUAAACGAAUUAAUAAAGCUUUUAUAGUU